AUUGAACGCUGGCGGCAGGCCUAACACAUGCGAGUCGAGCGGAUGAAGGGAGCUUGCUCCUGGAUUCAGCGGCGGACGGGUGAGUAAUGCCUAGGAAUCUGCCUGGUAGUGGGGGAUAACGUCCGGAAACGGGCGCUAAUACCGCAUACGUCCUGAGGGAGAAAGUGGGGGAUCUUCGGACCUCACGCUAUCAGAUGAGCCUAGGUCGGAUUAGCUAGUUGGUGGGGUAAAGGCCUACCAAGGCGACGAUCCGUAACUGGUCUGAGGGGAUGAUCAGUCACACUGGAACUGAGACACGGUCCAGACUCCUACGGGAGGCAGCAGUGGGGAAUAUUGGACAAUGGGCGAAAGCCUGAUCCAGCCAUGCCGCGUGUGUGAAGAAGGUCUUCGGAUUGUAAAGCACUUUAAGUUGGGAGGAAGGGCAGUAAGUUAAUACCUUGCUGUUUUGACGUUACCAACAGAAUAAGCACCGGCUAACUUCGUG
rnacentral:rRNA from 1 species